UUCUUAUCCAGAAAGACCGAGGGAAUUGACCCUAUGACGUCUUGGCAACCUGCCCGCUAACCCGGAGUAAGGUGCCACAUUCAACCUCCGCCGAAAGCGAAGGAUAGAUAAGUA
rnacentral:ncRNA from 2 species